UACAGAGGGUGCUAGCGUUGUUCGGAAUCAUUGGGCGUAAAGGGCGUGUAGGCGGUUUGUUAAGUCAUGUGUGAAAUCCCUCGGCUCAACCGGGGAACGACGCAUGAAACUGGCAAGCUAGAGUACCAAAGAGGGGGGUGGAAUUCCCGGUGUAGCGGUGAAAUGCGUAGAGAUCGGGAGGAACACCUGUGGCGAAGGCGGCCCCCGUGGGCCGGCCCUGACACUGACGACGCGAAGGCGUGGGGGAGCGAACGGG
rnacentral:rRNA from 1 species